UGUGUACUCCCUCCGUUCCAAAAUACUUGACUUCCAUUUGUCCAAAAAUGGAUGUACCUAUAUACUAAAACAUGUCUAGACACACAUAUAUUUUGACAAAUAGAAGGCAUGUAUUGUGCAACGGAGGGAGUAGAAU
rfam:Triticum urartu cultivar G1812 contig251574, whole genome shotgun sequence.